CCUACGGGUGGCUGCAGUGAGGAAUAUUGGUCAAUGGACGCAAGUCUGAACCAGCCAUGCCGCGUGCAGGAAGACGGCUCUAUGAGUUGUAAACUGCUUUUGUACGAGGGUAAACGCAGAUACGCGUAUCUGUCUGAAAGUAUCGUACGAAUAAGCAUCGGCUAACUCCGUGACAGCAGCCGCGGUAAUACGGAGGAUUCAAGCGUUAUCCGGAUUUAUUGGGUUUAAAGGGUGCGUAGGCGGUCGGAUCAGUUAGACGUGAAAUCCCGAGGCUCAACUUCGGAAUUGCCUGUGAUACUGUACGGCUAGAGAGUAGUUGCGGUAGGCGGAAUGUAUGGUGUAGCGGUGAAAUGCGUAGAGAUCAUGCAGAACACCGAUGGCGAAGGCAGCUUACCAGGCUGCUUCUGACGUUGAGGCACGAAAGCGUGGGGAGCAAACAGGAUUAGAUACCCUAGUAGUC
rnacentral:rRNA from 1 species